rnacentral:rRNA from 1 species
UACGGAGGGGGCUAGCGUUGUUCGGAAUUACUGGGCGUAAAGCGCGCGUAGGCGGAUCUGCAAGUCGGGGGUGAAAUCCCGAGGCUCAACCUCGGAACUGCCUUCGAUACUGCGGGUCUCGAGUCCGGGAGAGGUGAGUGGAAUUCCUAGUGUAGAGGUGAAAUUCGUAGAUAUUAGGAAGAACACCAGUGGCGAAGGCGGCUCACUGGCCCGGUACUGACGCUGAGGCGCGAAAGCGUGGGGAGCAAACAGGG